rnacentral:SRP_RNA from 1 species
GCCAGGUGUGGUGGUGUGCACCUGUAAUCCCAGCUACUCUGGAGGCUGAGACAGGAGAAUUGCUUGAACCUGGGAGGCGGAGGUUGCAGUGAGCCAAGAUUGCACCACUGUACUCCAGCCCAAGUGACAGAGUGAGAUUCUGUCUCCA